rnacentral:rRNA from 1 species
CCUACGGGAGGCAGCAGUGGGGAAUAUUGGACAAUGGGCGAAAGCCUGAUCCAGCAAUGCCGCGUGAGUGAUGAAGGCCUUCGGGUCGUAAAGCUCUUUUACCAGGGAUGAUAAUGACAGUACCUGGAGAAUAAGCUCCGGCUAACUCCGUGCCAGCAGCCGCGGUAAUACGGAGGGAGCUAGCGUUGUUCGGAAUUACUGGGCGUAAAGAGUACGUAGGCGGUUAUUCAAGUCAGAGGUGAAAGCCCGGGGCUCAACCCCGGAACUGCCUUUGAAACUAGAUAACUAGAGUCUUGGAGAGGUUAGUGGAAUUCCGAGUGUAGAGGUGAAAUUCGUAGAUAUUCGGAAGAACACCAGUGGCGAAGGCGACUAACUGGACAAGUACUGACGCUGAGGUACGAAAGCGUGGGGAGCAAACAGGAUUAGAUACCCUGGUAGUCCACGCCGUAAACGAUGAUAACUAGUUGUUCGGUCACUUGGUGACUGAGUGACGCAGCUAACGCAUUAAGUUAUCCGCCUGGGGAAUACGGUCGCAAGNUUAAAACUUAAAGAUUAGACGCGNNGANGCAGAGANACAGAGAG